rnacentral:hammerhead_ribozyme from 1 species
AUCCAGUGACGGGUCCCAAAUAGGACGAAAUACGCAUCUUGGAU